CCUCAUACAUCACGCGUCAGGAUGAGUCACUAGCGGCUGUGUCUCGGUGGCCCAACACGGCUGCGUCGCCACCGGGGUUGUCCUCUUCAGCGCCAGCUGCAGGCUACGGGGCGCUUAGUAGGUGCUCAAGGUGCUUAGAAACGAGGCUCCCCAGUCCUCUCCCAAGCAUCCCAGUCCCGGUGCGAGGGGUCAAAGCUGAAGGUAUUGGAAAGAAAGAACUGUCUGCCGUCUGCUGGAGCAUUCCUGUGAUAGAGCCGCACUCCACACUGGCCUGUGGGAAAGGCUAGGGCCAGGCGGGAGAGAGGGCUCGUGGUUUUCAUUUCCCCAACACCUGGAUGCAGUCAAACACCUGGCCAAAUCUGAGAAAAUCUGACAAGCCUUUGUGAUGGGAUUUGGAAGAAAUUCCCUGCAGAUCUUGGCACAGUUUAAAGCUGUCCGCUUUGAGUUAGGACUUGUUAAGGAGGGUUGUGUGAGCUGAAACCCGAGACAACCCUCUUUGCUUCUAUCUGGAGCCCACAUCUUGCCUGGAAAUGGGGCAUGACCAAGCGAAGGGGUCGCUUGCUGUUUGUAUUAAAAGGGGGAAAGCGGCCUGCGUGCCUGCCAGCCCCCACAUGCUUUCUCCAUUAAAGCCAAGCACAGAAACUUAUCAGAAACACAUGUCUGCUGUUAAUCAUCUGGCCCGGCC